UGCUGUUGGCUGUAAACAAAUUGAAAAUCAAGUACGAAAUAUACACCCUAAUUCACUUAAAUGUUUACCAAUAAACACAGCCUUUUCGGGGAGAUAUUUUUUUUCAGGUGGUUUUCAUGAGUAGUCAUGCUUUAUUGGAAUUUGUCGAAGAAGUUGACUUAACAUAAAUUUCUUUUAACAAACUAUAUAUGAAGGUAAAUAAUACGAGUGCGAAUCAGUUACCGGUAUGUCACUAUACACACGAUGAAGAUGUCAUAUUGGCUGAAUGGUUAACUAAAGGCUGUAAAACUCACAAUAAAAACUAUGUCGAAAACGGCGUGAAAUGUGUAUGUGAUCAUCUAACAUCGUUUGUCAUUUUGAUGAAACCGGAG